GACGAACGCUGGCGGCGUGCCUAAUACAUGCAAGUAGAACGCUGAAGGAGGAGCUUGCUUCUCUGGAUGAGUUGCGAACGGGUGAGUAACGCGUAGGUAACCUGCCUGGUAGCGGGGGAUAACUAUUGGAAACGAUAGCUAAUACCGCAUAAUAGCAGUUGUUGCAUGACAACUGUUUGAAAGGUGCAAUUGCACCACUACCAGAUGGACCUGCGUUGUAUUCGCUAGUUGGUGGGGUAACGGCUCACCAAGGCGACGAUACAUAGCCGACCUGAGAGGGUGGUCGGCCAAACUGGGACUGAGACACGGCCCAGACUCCUACGGGAGGCAGCAGUAGGGAAGCUUCGGCAAUGGACGGAAGUCUGACCGAGCAACGCCGCGUGAGUGAUGAAGGUUUUCGGAUCGUAAAGCUCUGUUGUAAGAGAAGAACGAGUGUGAGAGUGGAAAGUUCACACUGUGACGGUAUCUUACCAGAAAGGGACGGCUAACUACGUG
rnacentral:rRNA from 1 species